GCAGCAGYGAGGAAUAUUGGACAAUGGAGGCAACUCUGAUCCAGCCAUGCCGCGUGCAGGAAGACGGCCCUAUGGGUUGUAAACUGCUUUUAUACAGGAAGAAACACUCCCUCGUGAGGGAGCUUGACGGUACUGUAAGAAUAAGGACCGGCUAACUCCGUGCCAGCAGCCGCGGUAAUACGGAGGGUCCGAGCGUUAUCCGGAAUCAUUGGGUUUAAAGGGUCCGUAGGCGGAUUAUUAAGUCAGAGGUGAAAUCCCACAGCUUAACUGUGGAACUGCCUUUGAAACUGAUAGUCUUGAGUUACCUGGAAGUAGAUAGAAUGUGUAGUGUAGCGGUGAAAUGCUUAGAGAUUACACAGAAUACCGAUUGCGAAGGCAGUCUACUACGAGUAUACUGACGCUAAUGGACGAAAGCGUGGGGAGCGAACAGGAUUAGAUACCCUGGUAGUCCACGCCGUAAACGAUGGACACUCGUUGUUGGGAUUUAUUCUCAGUGACUAACCGAAAGUGAUAAGUGUCCCACCUGGGGAGUACGGUCGCAAGAUUGAAACUCAAAG
rnacentral:rRNA from 1 species